GCGCGCGCGCUAGCCAUGCCCCCGGGCACGCCGCCUGUGUGUUCCCCCGCCGCUGCCGCCGGGGCUGUAUCCUCAGGAGCUCUGCGGCGCCUAUGGAUACCCUUAAGCGCAGCACCUGAACGUGCUCCGACAUGGCUGCCGCGUUCGGCGUUCACGUCGACCUCAACGGUUCCCCCUCCCUCACCCCCAAGAUGGUGCUAACUUUCACGGAAGCACAUUUUUCUUUUGAAUCUUGUUUGUGAAUCCUGAUCGGCUACGAGGUGCAAGUCUUUGAGCCGCUUAAUCGUCUACCACUUGGUUCAGAACACCUAAUCUGAAAGAGAAGUCAAACAAAAAGCAUCUUCUGUGAUCCUGGCCGCAAUGAUGAAAGGCUGGCUGCUUAUUAGGCCUUGGAGUUGGUUUCUUCUUUCUGCAGAUCAGAACAUGCUCUCCAUGUUGAAUUUUAACUAGAGAAUUCUGUUUUGCAAACUAGUCUAAAGCUUUAUUAUUGGGGAUGUGCCCUUAUUUAAUUUAAGUUUGGACUGAACUAUGUGAAUAUUGAACUUUGAAUGUAGCAUUACAUUCUAUCUUUGGUCCAUGGUCAACCAGGAUAGUCAGGUUCUUUUUUAACAUAAAUUUGGUCC